rnacentral:rRNA from 2 species
CUGCUCAAUGAUUUUUUAAAUUGCUGUGGUAUUUUGACUAUACAAAGGUAUUGUAAUAAGACUUUAAUUGAGUGCUAAAAGAAUGGACUUUCAAAAAAAUACUAUCUUGAAUUUAAAAAUUGAAUUUAUUUUUAUUUGUGAAGAAACAAUAAUUAGAAUUAAGGACAAGAAGACCCUAAGAAUUUUUAAAUUAUUUAUAUAUUGUUAUAUGUAUAAUUAAUUUUUAAUUGGGGCGAUUAUAAAAUAUAAUUAACUUUGAAUUUUAAAAAAUGAUCCAUUAUUAAUGAUUAAAUGUAAAAAAUACUCUAGGGAUAACAGCGUAAUAAUUUUAGAUAGCUCUUAUAGAAAAAAUAGUUUGCGACCUCGAUGUUGGAUUAGGAUACUUUCUUAAUGAAGAAGUUAAGAUAAGAAGUUUGUUCAACUUUUAAAAUCCUACUUGAUCUGAGUUCAGACCGG